rnacentral:snRNA from 1 species
AGAAGUGAGGGCUACUUCACUGUGACAUCUGUCACCCCAUUGAUUGCCAGGGUCGUUUUGGCUAAUCUGACUAGCCAGGCAGGUGUCCUUUCCCUUCCUCACUGCUCCAUCUAUGUUGCUCCCAAAGCUGUGCGCUGCUUGGUCAAAGAGGAUGACCAUUCCUGCUAGAGUAGGACCAUUAUUUGGUCUAGGUUAUAUGAGUAGCUGCACUCCCCUGCUGGAACCUCCAAACAAGCUCUCAAAUAUUCUCAUCACCCAAAAGCCCAGGAAGAGUUCUCUUCACACACAAAUAUUCCACAUAUCUUUGUAGGUUAAUUGUUAGAAU